rnacentral:rRNA from 1 species
AUACGAAGGGGGCUAGCGUUGUUCGGAAUUACUGGGCGUAAAGCGCAUGUAGGCGGACAUUUAAGUCAGGGGUGAAAUCCCGGGGCUCAACCCUGGAACUGCCUUUGAUACUGGGUGUCUUGAGUACGAGAGAGGUGAGUGGAAUUCCGAGUGUAGAGGUGAAAUUCGUAGAUAUUCGGAAGAACACCAGUGGCGGAGGCGGCUCACUGGCUCGUAACUGACGCUGAGGUGCGAAAGCGUGGGGAGC